GGAGGUUCAAGUCCUCCCAGGCCCACCAAUUUAUGCUCGUUUUUUGCUUAUCCAAGAGUAUAAAGCUUAAGCGUAUUAAAGCCUCUUCAAUCUUUGUUUAUUUUUAAAGAUUUUAUUUUAUCAUUCAGAGAUUGUUUGUUAAUUUAUCCCAUUAAGCUUCCAAAGAGGCUUUGUCCCUUCAGUGGUACAGAUAAAUUUACAUGAUACAAAUCAAAACAGGACAGGUAAUUCAAGUUGGUGAAUUUGGUUAUGGUUGAUUUGAGAGAGCAUUAUUUAGGGGC
rnacentral:misc_RNA from 1 species